UCAGCUGAAGACACUAAUCCACAAGCAGUAGUUAUAGUAAAAUAUAAAAGGAAAACUGUGCACAAUGGUGGCUAUUAUGACAAGUCUAGAUGUCAUACAGUGAUGUGUCAUUGCAUCAUCGUGCUGUGACUGGAUGCAGUAAAAAGAACGUGGAGAAAAAAAAUGAUCUGAAGAACUUAUCUGCAAGAGAGGCUAGUUCCUGGUGCUCCCCACCCCAAUUUCUACAAAAUGCCCUCAUUUGGAUUUACGCAGUGUUGUUGUAGCUGUGUUGGUCCCAAGGGCUGGGGUCAGAAGAGUGGAAAAUCCCUGAACAAGAGGACAAGGAACCAAGAAAGAUGGUUCUGGAUUGACUGAGUGGCUAGUCCUGGAAAUGACCAGAUUGGAAGAUAUCUUGGGACCUUUCCUGGCAACCAUUACAAAUUGGAGUCCUUAGGUGCCACUGUAAUAGAAAUAAACAACACGGACAUAUUGUUUGGCUUA